GUAAGUUCUUCAGGAACAAAAUUAAUUUUUCUAAGUUCUUCGGGAACUAAGAUUAUGAAUUCUUCGGGAAUUCAUGUAUUAAAUGUCUAAGUUCUUCAGGAACUAAGAAUAGGUUCUUUAGGAACCAAGAUUAUGAAUUCUUCGGGAAUUCAUGUAUUAACUUUCUAGGUUUUUCAUGAACCAAGAUUAUGAAUUCUUAAACAUGUUUAUGUUCUUUUGGAUGAUCGAAGUGUCGAUGUUUCACCAUACAGGUGUCGGUCACGAAGCAUAAUGAUGCUUCACCA
rnacentral:lncRNA from 1 species